UCUCACAAUACAGUAGAAUGUUAAACGAUGCUAAAAAUACAAGGUAAUUUUGGAAAAAUACUAGUUUUAGGAAAAGGUCUUUAAAAUUAUGGAAAAUUUUCAUAGCUUUUUGUCCCCCCUACUCCUGUGAAUCAGAGCUGCGAGUGGGUCACUGUUUCCCAGAGCAAGGAGUGCAGGUUAGGAAUGCAGACUCCGGUUCCCACAGAGUGGGCCUAUGGGUUGUUUUGUAGAUGGUGUGGUGGGUGAGCUCAGAGGAGGGGGUGGCAUGGCCCUAAAUACAUGGCCACAAAACCCCAAUGUGCUCCGGAGGUGGUGAAAUUACAACCUAAUAAAAUUCUGGGUUAGGUUUAGAAGUAGCUAUUCAAUUCCUUUAUCAAAAGCAAAAAGGUGCUCUGAGCUGAAAUGAUUCAUUUCUGCCACAAUAGUUUACAUGUUUGGAGAGAAGUAGCCAGAAAUCAUGUUUAUACUUAAGAAGUGCCUGUCCACUCUUCAUAGUGGGUUCAGUCCGGCCCUCAAUGACAACAAAAACCCCUAUCAUUUUCUGCUGCUUGUGUGGUGGUGGAUCUCAGAAUGAGCUCCCUGCAUCCUGGGGACACAUGUCACUCUUUGGAGUUUCAAGAACUUAUCAUAGCAUCUGAUGUACAUUGCUGCUUUUAGAAGGUUUUAGUGUUUCUCUCUCUGGCUGCUUGUACUCUGGAAGUGUUGGCAUUCUCCUCUCUUUUCUCCUUCCUCCCUCCCUCCCCUCUAGUCCUCCCUUCCCCUCCUCUCUCCUGUUUCUCAGUCUAGGAUAGCAGGGCAGACAACACUUUUCAAUAGUCAUAGUGACAAUAAGCUUUGCUUUAGGUCCCAUGCAGACACCAUGCAGAUGGAAGUCUGAGUCUCUUGAGAACCCAGCUGCAAAACUCAGGCACUGCUCUUGUUUCAAAGACAAGACAGUGACAGUCAUCAGGGACAAGUUAGCAUUACUCUCUGCCCCUGACCUCAAUGUUCAGGGGCUCAGGCAGAAUUCAAGGUCACCUUGUUUGACUCCAGAGUCUACUUAAUUAAUCCAGAAGGUUUUGCUAACACACUGCCUGGCAAGAAGACCAAGAACAGCAACCACCAGAACAAGCACAGAGUUGUGGGUCCUGUCUUAGGCUGGGGCUUGAGGCAAGAAGAUUGUGUGGGACAUGAUGGGGAUGUGGUGGUGCCUGGUAACUCUCCCAGGUUGCUUGGGACUGACCAAUGUUUUAAGAUUUGGGCUGUCUGGGAUAGUUUUGAGCAAACAUCCUAGGGUAUGUUGGUCACCAUAGAAAGGACAGUCAUUGCCUGUCAACUUUUUUUCUCCCAAAGGCACACUGAAAUCCUAGGCCCUGAUCCCUGUGAAUGUGGCAUUACUUAAGGACAAUCUUACAGGUGUGGUAAUGGUACUAUGAGGUCUGCUCAGCCAGAAGAGAGCACCUCCAUGCAGAAGCUGCCCAUGCCCUUCAUCUCGUCCUUGCAGACAUUUUUCCUCCUCUUUCUGCUUGCCUCAGGCCUUACCACAGGAUCCUUGAUAAACCACAGCUAUCAGGUCUCCCUGCUCAAUCUCACACUCUAGAACAACGUCUGAGUAUCUAAAAAGAGGUCUUCCAGAAACACGCAUAUGUAGUUCUGUGUGUUCCCACUACCUUCUGUCCUUUAUGGGUUACCAGAUGUCUGUGGGAGCUCAGACUUGGUAACAUGCUCAGAUCAUUUGUACUGUUCUGACUUAUGCCAGUAAUUCCACCCCCUCCACACUGUGUCAGAAUGUGUGACAGGCAGAAGACUCCAGCACCCACCAGGCAUCUUCAACUCCUAGAUGAAUCUCAUGGGUCUUCAGGAUGGAAUCCCGUUGGUCUACUGGAGCAAAUGAGGAUUCCUCAAGGCCCAGCAGGAUCUAUCCAAACAUGCACUGAGAAUGACACAAGGAUGUGAACUAGUUUACCUCACCCCAAGCCCUCAGCCAUGAUGCUCUGCUUGCGGCAGUAGAGCAAGCUGAUGUGGGACAGGAACAGUGAACUGGGAGCCAAAGGAGACCUCUGCUCCCUCUCAGGCAUUCUUCACUGUGACGAAAAGACUGACCAAAUUUCAGCAUAUAUUUUGAAGGAAAUUCACCCUGUUAAAGCACAGCAACAAGUGUGUGCUGUCACUAUACUGAGAAAUGCAUACAGCUGCAGACCUGUGAUCUGCCUUCCCACCUGGGACCCUCAGAGCCCAUGUCGUUCCAUUCCCUAAGAUCAUCAGACAGCCUGCAUCCACUUCUGCCCACGGCCUGGCCCAAGCUGUGACCUGUCAAGUGGUCUGUCACUGAGCCUGACACUUACUGAUGUGACUAGAAUGGCUGGCCAGCAAGCCCCAAAGAGCUCUCCAGCUCUACCUCAGCACUGGGACUACAGGCAUGUGUCUCUGCACCUGGAUUUUUAUUUUUGAAUGCUGGGGAUUUGAACUCAGGCCCCCAUACUUGUGCAGUAAGCACAUUGUCCACUAAGCCUCCCCCACCCCCUUGUGUCUAAAGAUGCCUUUUCAGCUCUAUACCACAGAUCCUCCCAAGAGCCCAGAGAGUAGAAGCUGCUAUUGUCCCCAACACACAACAUGGUCUGAAGACUGUGAGGAACCUGCCUAGGGUCACAUAGCCUUCGAGCAGCAGAGCUGACAGGCAAGGCCAGGUUCUCUGCCUGUAAGUGCUGAGAGUUCAACUACAGUUCUCCUGCUCAUUGAAUACUCCACACAGAAUUUCUCAGGCUGACAUCACCCUGUCCUGCAGCAUCACACACACACACACACACACACACACACACACACAC